UGGUGGGCUGCCGUCUAUGGGGUCACACAGAGUCAGACACGACUGAAGUGACUUAGCAGCAGCAGCAACUACGUCAGACCAGAUACCGAGUAGUUAUUUAUCUUCUUUUAUAGUGUUUUGUUAUUUAAUUUCAUUUCAUCCAACUUAUGUUCAGUGUCUUCUGUGCUAAAAUAAGGGCUGCUGCUUUUGGCAGGCUCACAUCCUGGUGGGGGAGAGUCAUAUACAUGAUCCUACUGUGGUGGGAAGCAUAAUAGCAGAAUACGAGACACAUUGGGGACAAAGGAGAGGAUGUGGUUAACUCGGUUCCUCAGUGCAAACCUUCACAGAGAAGGUGGUAUUUGAGUCUUGAAAAAUGUUGGGAGUUCAGUUUUUUACUAGCAUUCUUUCUUCAGAGGCGUAUUAAGGUAUAUGAUAUUGUUCAUUCUCUUUUCCAGACUGGUAGAAUUUGAGAUAGGUUUCAUAGAAUAACUGGGACAGCUCUGGCAACUGGAAUGAAAACAGUAGGUAGAAAGGAAAAAAAUCAGCCAUCCAGUAGUGGGUACAAAGGAGAAUACGAAGGAGAUGGAUCACACAUUCAGGAUCAGCCCAGCCAAAUUUCAUGCCUUAGGAAAGCAGAUAGUGAUUGUUCACAGAGUUGUCAAAACAUAUUCCUAGUGAGGUUUGGAUUAUUUAAAAUAAAUUUGUAGACCUGGAAUCACUUGAUCAAGAAGAACAUAUUUUUUGUGAGAGUGCCUUCUGAAGUUUUGCAACAGCUGCUAUUGGACAGUGAAUUUUAUAAACUUCUUGUCUUAAAAAAGAAUUCUUGAGCCCUCUGCUGGACGCGUUUAGUAUUUCUAUUGAGUUAGUAAUAGAUGAGAGUUUUAUAAUUCUGAAUGUAAGAUUUUUUAAAAGAAAACAACCUGAUAGCAAACA